rnacentral:rRNA from 1 species
CCGUGACCCGGCAUCGGGAUACGGUUAAAGCCUUCGGGCGGUAUAAGAUGGCCAUGCGUCCCAUUAGCUUGUUGGUAAGGUAACGGCUUACCAAGGCUACGAUGGGUAGGGGCCCUGAGAGGGGGAUCCCCCACACUGGUACUGAGACACGGACCAGACUCCUACGGGAGGCAGCAGUGAGGAAUAUUGGACAAUGGAGGAGACUCUGAUCCAGCCAUGCCGCGUGCAGGAAGAAUGCCCUAUGGGUAGUAAACUGCUUUUAUACGGGAAGAAAAAAGAGUACGUGUACUCUACUGACGGUACCGUAAGAAUAAGGACCGGCUAACUCCGUGCCAGCAGCCGCGGUAAUACGGAGGGUCCGAGCGUUAUCCGGAAUUAUUGGGUUUAAAGGGUCCGUAGGCGGGCCGAUAAGUCAGGGGUGAAAGUUUGCAGCUCAACUGUAAAAUUGCCUUUGAUACUGUUGGUCUUGAGUUAUAGUGAAGUUGCCGGAAUAUGUAGUGUAGCGGUGAAAUGCAUAGAUAUUACAUAGAACACCGAUUGCGAAGGCAGGUGACUAACUAUAUACUGACGCUGAUGGACGAAAGCGUGGGGAGCGAACAGGAUUAGAUACCCUGGUAGUCCACGCCGUAAACGAUGGAUACUAGCUGUCCGAGGCCUUGAGUCUUGGGCGGCCAAGCGAAAGUGAUAAGUAUCCCACCUGGGGAGUACGUUCGCAAGAAUGAAACUCAA